UGAGUACAAGAUGCUACGGCAUUGAAGCAGUCUAUGUCAUACUUCCAAGAAAAGCUUGCAAUGUCAUAAACAAAUAAUGCCUGUACCAUAACCGACACAGGUGGGUAGGUAGAGUAUACUAAGGGGCGCGAGAUAACUCUCUCUAAGGAACUCGGCAAAAUGACUCCGUAACUUCGGGAGAAGGAGUACCUUAUUUUAUAAGGUUGCAAUAACAAGGUCCAAGCAACUGUUUACCAAAAACACAGGUCUCCGCUAAGUCGUAAGACGAUGUAUGGGGGCUGACGCCUGCCCAGUGCCAGAAGGUUAAAGAAGUUGGUUAGCAUUAGCGAAGCUGAUAACUGAAGCCCUGGUGAACGGCGGCCGUAACAAUAACGGUCCUAAGGUAGCGAAAUUCCUUGUCGGGUAAGUUCCGACCCGCACGAAAGGCGUAAUGAUUUGGAUACUGUCUCGGAGAGGGGCUCGGUGAAAUAGACUUGUCUGUGAAGAUGCGGACUACCUGCACCUGGACAGAAAGACCCUAUGAAGCUUUACUGUAACUUGAGAUUGAAAUUGGACUUUAUUUGCGCAGUAUAGGUGGGAGACCUCAAAAGUAUUCUUGCGGGAAUAUUGGAGUCAUCAGUGAGAUACCACUCUUAUAAUGUUAGAUUUCUAACUUUGUAUCAUUAUCUGGUCAAAGAACAGUUUCAGGCGGGCAGUUUGACUGGGGCGGUCGCCUCCCAAAUGGUAACGGAGGCGCACAAAGGUUUCCUCUGAACGUGUAGAAAUCGUAUCUAGAGUGUAAAGGCAUAAGGAAGCUUGACUGUGAGACCUACAAGUCGAGCAGGGACGAAAGUCGGUCUUAGUGAUCUGACGGUGCUGAGUGGAAAGGCCGUCACUCAACGGAUAAAAGUUACUCUAGGAUAACAGGCUGAUCUCCCCCAAGAGUUCACAUCGACGGGGAGGUUUGGCACCUCGAUGUCGGCUCAUCGCAUCCUGGGGCGGUAGUACGUCCCAAGGGUUGGGCUGUUCGCCCAUGAAAGCGGUACGCGAGCUGGGUUCAGAACGUCGUGAGACAGUUCGGUCCAUAUCCGGUGUAGGCGUUAGAAUAUUGAGAGGAGCCUUCUUUAGUACGAGAGGACCGAGAAGGACAUACCUCUGGUGUACCAGUUAUCGUGCCAACGGUAAACGCUGGGUAGCUAUGUAUGGAGAGGAUAACCGCUGAAAGCAUCUAAGUGGGAAGCCCACCUCAAGAUAAG
rnacentral:rRNA from 1 species